AACACCAUCUUUAAACAAAAGCUGCCACAGAAGAGCAAAUCAUUACUGAUUAGGCAUUCAAACUUAACCAAUCACUCAGUCAGCGUUCCCAAUUAGUACCACUCAGCACUUGGGGCAUGGCAGGUGUGUCCCUGUUCACAUGGGUUAAGCCUUGACUCUCCAAGAGCUAUUGUUUGGAUAUUAUGGCACAUUCGAAUCAAGAGUUAUGCUACUCCUCUUAAUGAUAGACGCCAGGGAAUCAUGUUAUUGUUUUUUAUUCAGUGACUUUGCAAUACCGUGGGCGUUAAGAAAAUGAUGAAUUUAGAAGUAACCCACUGUUUAAUGUUCCUUCUGUGAAUUUCACAUAGCAUUUCAAGAAAACUUUACCAUUGCAAAGUAAAGGAUUAAAUUUAAUUCUGUUCACUAAUCAAAAAUUAAAUUUUAUUGUUUGAAGGAAAAUAAAUUUUGAUUAAAAGAAAAUAAAUUAUUGGUCCAAAAAAAACCCUUAAAAGAGGGAAAAUGACUUCUCAUUUUCAAAA
rnacentral:misc_RNA from 1 species